AGAGGGCAAAAGAUGACAAGCUGCCCGCUGCGAACUGUUGCCCUGACAACCCUGACACAGGCUAAUCCAGGAAGGCAGGGAGCAGCUCCUUCUCCAGCGGCCCUAGGAUGCAGUGUCCUCGGAACUCAGCGGCAGAGGUCAACCAGUACCACAUCUCUGAGACCCUCCUGAAGACCAGAAAUCGGAGACUGUACCUCUUCCCACUAAAAGCCACAGCAUGGAACAUCCCCUUGGCAGGUCAAGUCUAAAGGGCAGAAACAAAGCCAGCAAGGAGGGGGUCCCAGGUGCCUCAAUUACAUUGCACCCCAGCACAUCCCUACCCCAGUGUCCAGCAGCACUGCUGAGCAGAUCUCAACUCUAGUUCUUUUGGACUAUUCUCUCAAAAGCACACAGCAGCACAACUUGUUUUCUUCUGAAAUAAGUUUUCUCUUUUUGAGACUCUCCGUUGUUAGGUUGCUUAAAAUUUUUACUGCAUAAAAAAAACUAAUAAAUAAUUUUUUACAACAAA